rnacentral:rRNA from 1 species
GAUGAACGCUGUCGGCGUGCCUAACACAUGCAAGUCGAGCGAAGCACUUACUUUAGAUUUCUUCGGAAUGACGAAGUUUGUGACUGAGCGGCGGACGGGUGAGUAACGCGUGGGCAACCUGCCCUGUACAGGGGGAUAACAGUUAGAAAUGACUGCUAAUACCGCAUAAGCCCACAGCUUCGCAUGAAGCAGUGGGAAAAACUCCGGUGGUACAGGAUGGGCCCGCGUCUGAUUAGCUAGUUGGUAAGGUAACGGCUUACCAAGGCGACGAUCAGUAGCCGACCUGAGAGGGUGACCGGCCACAUUGGGACUGAGACACGGCCCAAACUCCUACGGGAGGCAGCAGUGGGGAAUAUUGCACAAUGGGGGAAACCCUGAUGCAGCGACGCCGCGUGAGCGAUGAAGUAUUUCGGUAUGUAAAGCUCUAUCAGCAGGGAAGAAAGUGACGGUACCUGACGAAGAAGCCCCGGCUAACUACGUG